ACACUGCUGAGGAGUCCCAUACUAGGACGAAACGGCCGUCCAGUGC
rfam:Schistosoma mattheei strain Denwood, Zambia genome assembly, scaffold: SMTD_scaffold0014705